rnacentral:tRNA from 1 species
UGGCUCAGAGGUUUAGAGCACUGGCUACUCUUCCAGAGGUCCUGAGUUCAAUUCUCAG